GUCAUUUUUAGAAAACACAGCCUCCCUGUUUUUGUUAAAAGGAAAGACAGCUCCGUAUUAAGGACCCUGGUGUGGACUCCAGAGUGGCUUACGCAGGUGGUCCUCAACUUACAAAGUGACCAAAGUUAACAACGGUUCUGAAAAACGUGCCUUAGGGCCAUUUUUUCACACACCAUCCGUGUUCAGACGCUGACUCACAUUAUGAUGGUCGUGGUCCUGCGAUCCCCUUUUGUGACGUCAGACAAGCCAAGUUCAUGGGGAUUCACUUAACCACCAUGUGACUGCGGGAUCCCCUUGAACAACGGUGGCAUAAAAUGGGGCAAAACUAACCACCGUCUUGCUUAACGACAGAAAUGUUGGACUUCGUUGUGGCUGUAAUUCAAGUACCUCCGUUUGAGCUGGAGUUCUCUCAUUGACGGGCAAAACCUUGCAAGAUUCCUUCUCCUUUUGUAACUUGAUGUCAUCUGCUCCCCCCCCAGAUCCCAUUUCGUCCCCUCUGAGGACCCUGAGCGAUCUGCCCGGGAUCCAGUCCUCCACGGGAGAAGCAGAACUGCCAAAGAGACAAGGGAACCGGCUGAACUGUUCAACCAUCAUCCAGCCCCCGGGACUGCCAGCCCUAGAUCUUCCUGCUGCUGCUGCUUCCACUGCUAGAGAAAUCGGAAUUUGCUGGGAAAAAAAACCGAACCAAAGCAAACCGAACCAAGAGCUUUUCAUCGCCCGGCCGAGGAAGGAAGGCAUGCUUCGCUGUUUCUGCUCCUCCUGUUUUCAUCCCCGUUAAAAGAUGCACUUUCUGUUGGAUGCUGUCACCGCGCUGAAU
rnacentral:lncRNA from 1 species